UUCAUUUGUGCACUCAAUACUUGGUCGGCAGCACAUAUUACAGCAAAUGACUUGCUCCUAGCACAAAUUACAGCAUCAGUGAAGUGUGGCAUGGAAGUGAUCAGCCUGUGGCACUGCUGAGGCACUAUUGAGCCUUCAGAUCAUCUGUAUAUUGUUGGAUCAACUGUUUCUCAUCUUUCUCUUGAAAAUAUCCCAUAGAUUCAGGUCAGGCAUAUUGGCUGGCCAAUAAAGCACAGUAAUAUCAUGCUCAGCAAACCACUUGGAACUGGUUUUUGCACUGUGGGCAGGUGCUAAAGUCCUGCUGGAAAAGGAAAUCAGCAUCUCCAUAAAGCUUGUCAGCAGAUGGAAGCAUAAAGUGCUCCAAAAUCUCCUGGAAGAUGGCUGCAUUGACUCUGCACUUGAUAAAACACAAUGGACCAACACCAGCAGACGUCACGGCCCCCCCAAAUCAUUAUUGACUUCAGAAACUUCACACUAGACUUCAAGCAGCUUGGAUUCUGUGCCUCUCCAGUCUUCCUUCAUACUCUGGGACCAUGAUUUCAACAUGAAAUGCAAAAUUUACUUUUAUCUGAAAACAGGACUUUCGACCACUGUUCACUGUCUAGUUCUUUUUCUCCUUAGCCCAGGUAAGAUGCUUCUGACGUUGUCUCUGGUUCAGAAGUGGCUUGGUAGUCCUUUUCCUGAAGAUGUCUGAGUGUGGUGACUCUUGAUGCACUGACUCCGGCUUCAUUCUACUCAUUGUGAAGCUCUCUUAAGUGUUUGAAUUGGCUUUACUUGACAGUAUUCUCAAGCUUGCGGUCAUCCCUGUUGCUUGUGCACCUUUGCCUACCCAAUUUCUUCCUUCCAGUCAACUUUGCAUUUAAUAUGCUUUGAUAUACACUCUGUAAACAGCCACCCCAUUCAGUAAUGACCUUCUGUGACUUACUCUCUUUGUGGAGGGUGUCAAUGAUUGUCUCCUGGACCAUUGCCAAGUCAGCAGUCUUCCCCAUUAGUGUGGUUUCAAAGAACAAAAGAUACCCGGAAUUUAUACUGUAGGGAUGGUCAUUUAAUGAAACUCAAAUGUAAAUAUUCUAAUAUUUUGAGAUAC